GGACUUCUGGGAAGAUAGUGGGCUAAAAAGACACAGGACUGUCUUCUCCAGAAAAAUAGCUAGGAUGUGCUGACCCCUGCGAUUUCCCCAAAUGUGGGAAACUCAACUGCAUAAUUUGUGGUAGUGGGGGACUGUGUUCAUGCUCUCCCUUG
rnacentral:snRNA from 1 species